UUGUUUGCCUUCAAGGUGUUUCUCUGCGCUAUAACUCUAUUUGUAAGAGCCGUUGAAGUGCAAGAUGACCACAGGACCAAAAGGGUUGAAAACCAGGUGAAGAAAAUGAUGUAGAAAGGAAACACCUUCCGUAGCAACAUAUUCACACCCCUCCUGGACCACCCAUCACUCUCCAUGAGGUCUCUUCCUCCUCCUAAGAUUGGGCAGAUAUUGCUUAAGUAAGACUUCAAGAGAGAACGUGGGUUUUUGAAAAUGGAGAUUGGUCUGCGAAGUUGUGGUUGCCAGCUUCCAACAUACUGACAGACAUACCAACUUGCCAUGUCGUGUUAAUGUGCAAUCCCAGGGCAUAUGGUGCCCUGCAAAAUACCCUAAACCCCAUGAAGGGGUUAUUUUCUUCUCAAUCAACAAGUCCUGGUGGUUGGAAACACAAUGCAGAUGCAAUAUCACCUAUGAAAGACUUUGGAAAGGGGAGCAGUACACCACCAGUAAAUCAGCAUAACGUAUGCCAGCAGGUGGUAAGUUUUUUUAAAGUUGUGUAACAGUAAAACAUAUUUAGAACAAUGAUUUCCAACCAGGAUAACAGAGGCUUCACAGACUGAGUGGACUUUGAGUCAAGUAAGCAUUUUUAGAGCGUAAGAGUAGAGAUGAGAUGGGAGGAGGUAAGAGUCAUUCUAUACUGUGAAUACGAAAAUAUGUUAUUUGGGUUUGGAUUUUAGAAGGCUGUUAUAUGUGCCAUCAUGUUUUAAAUCAAGGGAGGGAAACCCUUCCAACAAAUGGCUAAGAUAAGUAAAAUAUUCAUGUGUCCCUAAGAGGGAUUUAUAGUCUGCAAAUAUAGCACUGAAGGAUGAGCUCCAGAAUUUGGUCAUUCUCUAUUUCUAAAUGUAGGCACCAUUAUUUAUGAGAAUACUAAUUCUUCU